UACGUAGGGUGCGAGCGUUGUCCGGAAUUAUUGGGCGUAAAGGGCUCGUAGGCGGUUUGUCGCGUCGGGAGUGAAAACCCAGGGCUUAACCCUGGGCUGGCUUUCGAUACGGGCAGACUAGAGGCAUGCAGGGGAGAACGGAAUUCCUGGUGUAGCGGUGAAAUGCGCAGAUAUCAGGAGGAACACCGGUGGCGAAGGCGGUUCUCUGGGCAUUACCUGACGCUGAGGAGCGAAAGUGUGGGGAGCGAACAGG
rnacentral:rRNA from 1 species